UCUGCCUGCUGGACUGCUGUGUGCAUCACAUUUCCUUUCACACACUUGUGUGAAAAUGUUCAGAGUCCUGUUGGUGCCUUUAGCCUGACUGCUCAGUGAGGCAUGUGUUGGUAGUGAAAGCUAAAUAUACUGGAACAUAAGAGGGACUGAAACCCCAGCAAGGUCCAGCAGGAUGCCUGUGCAGCAUUGGAUACUGAAAGCCUGACCCUGUUACAACCUCUGGCAUGGAUUGAAGGUUUAGGAAUGCAGCUGCUGAGGAAUUCAGUAAGCAACCACUUUGUCCAAAUUUCUCAAUCCUUCUGUAUCCUGCUUUCUUUGAACCUGUGGGAAAGUCAAGACAUGUCUAGCAGAAGUAGCUACAAAAUAGCAAUUGGUGCUGCUAUUAAAACUGAGGUAAAUUACACAGAACUGUCCUGUUGGUGUAAAUGCAGCAGCUACAAAACACUGUGUUUAAAAAAAAAGACAUGUAACCUUUACUAAUUCUGCAAUUGUUGAUAAUGGGAACAGAGAAACCAGAGGGCCCAGAUGAACCACAGAACAUGUGCCCAAUUAUGUUCUGCCUCUGUAUUUGGAUAAGUGGGACUGAUUGCUGCCAUCAUCAGAGGCUGGUUUCCAUGGACAGAAAAUCUACACAUGAGGAUUGCACAGGAGGAGAGGAGCUGGAACAGGACCCCUGAUGAACCAAAUGUUGUGCUGUGAUUAACAAGCCUUUACCCUUAGCAGCCUUGCAAUACUUCCCUUUCCAUAUCUGCCUUUCAGAGGAGGGAAGAGGUGCUGAUGAUUACCUUGCUACCACAUAUCAGCAUGGUCUUGUGCAGCUUAUGUAUGACUUUCUUGGAUAGGAAGAACAGUGAAGGUAGCUGAGAUUGCUUGUGCUAGCAAAUGUAGGGUCUCUGGAGCACUGU